rnacentral:lncRNA from 1 species
GUGAGACACACAGUCAUGAGAAAUUAAAAUUGGCUAAUCACAGGGGCGUUUCUGUCUUACAUUUUGUCUUUCUUGUGGAUAUCUAAUUUUCCUUGAAAUGUAAAAAUCUCUGAAGAUCAGGCAGUGAAAAUUCAUAACUUGUUACUUCUGCCUAUUGUUCUUCUGAUGUGCACCUCUAAGAAAAGUUUGGUUCCAUCUUCUCUGCAAUCCCCCUGCAGGGCAUGGUCUAUAGACAUUUAAGUGUCAACAUCUUCCAUUUGACAUUGACCGACCCUGUAGCUCAAAGACAGAUUUCAGCGCUGGUUUUAAUCCCUCUCCGGGGAAGACCAGCCUUGCCUUCCCUUCCUAUCAGAAGCAAACCUUCAAAAGAUUGGAGAAAAUGGGAAUGCUUAGACGCCAGAUGGCAAAUGUUUGAAACCGGAUGUUCAGCUGUGUUUUCUUCAUCACAUUCCUUGUUCUGUGAUGUGCAUUCAUUGGAAGAAAACAAUUUCCAUCUUAAACUCACCUCUUUCCAAGGCAAGAUUUCUGCUUUUUUACUCUCCUCUUAUUUUCCUGCAUGUUUUCUGGCUAAGAAGCUCCCUCUUCCUCCACAGAGACUGGAACUCAACAUCCCUGACUAUCUUCUAGUGGCAGUAAUCAACUAUUCAACCCAAAAACUUUUGCAAUAA